rnacentral:rRNA from 1 species
CCUACGGGAUGCAGCAGUGAGGAAUAUUGGUCAAUGGGCGGGAGCCUGAACCAGCCAAGUCGCGUGCGGGAAGACGGUCCUAUGGAUUGUAAACCUCUUUAGGCGGGGAGCAAUGCCGGGCACGCGUGCCCGGAGGGAGAGUACCCGCAGAAUGAGCAUCGGCUAACUCCGGGCCCGCCGCCGCGGUACUACGGAGGAUGCGAGGGUUAUCCGGAUUUAUUGGGUUUAAGGGGGGCGUAGGCGGAUUUUUAAGGCAGCGGUAAAAUGUCCGGGCUCAACCCGGGCCGGCCGUUGAAACGGGGGAUCGUGAGUGGGCGAGAAGUAUGCGGAAUGCGGGGUGUAGCGGUGAAAUGCAUAGAUAUCACGCAGAACUCCGAUUGCGAAGGCAGCAUACCGGCGCCCGACUGACGCUGAGGCACGAAAGCGUGGGGAUCGAACAGGAUUAGAUACCCGAGUAGUC